GCAGUCGUGGCCGAGUGGUUAAUGCGAUGGACUAUUAAUCCAUUGUGGUCUCCCCGCACAGGUUCGAAUCCUGUCGACUGCG
rnacentral:tRNA from 2 species